CCACCCCCCCCAACCCGGGAGAAGCAGGGGGCAGUGCAAAAGGCACCCUGGAACCCUGCAACUCAGCUUGAACAACUGGACCUGACAGGAUUCAGGAGUGAAGCAGCUGUGUGGUUUUCUGGAGAGUCGUCACUGUCGACUGGAGACUCUGAGAUUUUCCCAUCAGGAGUCGCUACAGCGAAUCCUCCUUUUGCAUCAUUGGUCGUCCUCUUGCCUGGCAGCUCCAUCUCUAACAUCCUUCUUCCAAUGAAUUCAGUAUCUCUCCUCUGCACAUGUCCAAGCCAUCUCAGUCUGGUCUCUCUGACUUUGUUGCUAACACAGGCAACUUGAGCCGUCCCUCUGGCAAUAUGUGAUACAACCCAUCUCAUCACUAACGUUGAAGGAAAAUGGCCAGGGUCAGUGCAUGAUUCCUGAAUCUUCAGGGAGUCAUCACUAUGCUAUACCUUUUAACCUGGUAUGUUGUAAUUUACACAAUUUCUUGUUUUUACUGUAUUGUUUUAUUGUUUUGCACAUUUCAAUCAUUACAGGAUAGUACAAUGGCUACUUGUUGGGGGGGGCAGAGGGUUCCCUUGUCUGCCCUAUUUAAUGACACCCUACUCUGAAUCUGAACCUGGACCUGGGUUCAGCCAGGCCAACAGCAGAACACAGGCCAGCAGAACCAUAGGCAUCCUGAAGGCGAGGGUCCAGCGUCUACGUGGCCUCAGGGUCAGUCCAGAGAGGGCACGUGACAUUAUAGUAGCUUGUGUUGUCCUUCACAGCAUUGCCACAAUA